rnacentral:lncRNA from 1 species
GACUUGCACUUGUAUUCAACGGUCGCUAGAGAGUGAAAAGCGACCAUGCUAAAUUUUAAGAUAAAUUAAAAAAGAACAUAAAAGACGCAUGUAUCCUUGUUUAUAUAUAUAUCCAAAUCAGACGCUAUCAUCUAUGUGAUUAAUGGUGAUUGGUUGAUAAAUAGAAACUAUUUAAUGCAAAAAUAAGUUUUGUUGUCCAC